GACAGAGGUGCCAAGCGUUAGGCGGAAUUACUGGGCUUAAAGCGUGUGUAGGCGGACUUGUAAGUACCUUGUGAAAUCCCUCGGCUCAACCGUGGAACUGCUUGGUAUACUGCUUGUCUUGAGCCACUUAGGGGCUACCGGAACUAAUGGUGGAGCGGUGAAAUGCGUAGAUAUCAUGUGGAACACCAAUGGUGAAAGCAGGUAGCUGGGAGUGUGCUGACGCUGAGACACGAAAGCCAGGGGAGCGAACGGG
rnacentral:rRNA from 1 species